UACGUAGGGUGCGAGCGUUGUCCGGAAUUAUUGGGCGUAAAGGGCUCGUAGGCGGUCUGUCGCGUCGGGAGUGAAAACUCGGGGCUUAACUCCGAGCCUGCUUCUGAUACGGGCAGACUAGAGGUAUGCAGGGGAGAAUGGAAUUCCUGGUGUAGCGGUGAAAUGCGCGGAUAUCAGGAGGAACACCGGUGGCGAAGGCGGUUCUCUGGGCAUGACCUGACGCUGAGGAGCGAAAGUGUGGGGAGCGAACAGG
rnacentral:rRNA from 1 species